UUCUUUAGUAAUGAUUAUAUCAUUUUAUGGUUAGUUUAAAAUAAGAAAACCGUGCUCUGAUCAGUGAUAAUGCAGGGAGAGGAAUUGCUGAAAGCCAUUUCCCGUGUUUGGAGGGUCCAGCCUGUCCCUCUCAAAUGCUGGUACUUUCACACA
rnacentral:snoRNA from 1 species